rnacentral:rRNA from 1 species
UACAGAGGCCUCGAGCGUUAGGCGGAAUCACUGGGCUUAAAGCGUGUGUAGGCGGAUCGUUAAGUACCUUGUGAAAUCCCACGGCUCAACCGUGGAACUGCUUGGUAUACUGGCGAUCUUGUGCCACCUAGGGGCGAGCGGAACAGAUGGUGGAGCGGUGAAAUGCGUAGAUAUCAUCUGGAACGCCAAUGGUGAAAACAGCUCGCUGGGGGUGUGCAGACGCUGAGACACGAAAGCCAGGGGAGCGAACGGG